rnacentral:rRNA from 1 species
UGGUCAAGCUACAUAGGGCACAUGAAGGAUGCCUUGGCAUCAGCAGGCGAAGAAGGACGUGGCAAGCUGCGAAAAGCCUCGGGGAGCUGCAUACAAGCUUUGAUCCGGGGAUAUCCGAAUGGAGCAAUCCAGCAGAAGUAAUGUUCUGUUAUCCGGCACUGAAUACAUAGGUGUCGGAGGCGAUACUCAGUGAAGUGAAACAUCUCAGUAACUGAAGGAGAAGAAAUCAACCGAGAUUCCGCAAGUAGUGGCGAACGAACGCGGAAGAGCCUAAACCAUCGGGUUUACUCGAUGGGGUUGCGGGACUUGAAUGUGACAUGCGGCCGGUUAGCACAACCGUCUGGGAAGUCGGGCCAUAGCGGGUGACAGCCCCCUGUGCGAAAACCGAAAGCAGUCUACAAGUAUCCCAAGUAGGUCGGCACACGUGAAACUCCGACUGAAUCCGGGGAGACCACUCUCCAAGGCUAAAUACUAGCUGAUGACCGAUAGUGAAACAGUACCGCGAGGGAAAGGUGAAAAAGUACCCCUUUUAGGGGAGUGAAAAGUGUCUGAAAUCAUGUGCCUGCAAAGUGUGGGAGCCCUUCGGGGUGACCGCAUGCCUUUUGCAUAAUGAGCUUGCGACUUACUUUAAGCAGCCAGGUUAAGCCAUAGGUGAAGCCGAAGCGAAAGCGAGUGUGAACAGCGCGUUAAGUUGCUUGAAGUAGACCCGAAGCUGAGUGAUCUAUCCAUGGCCA